UACGUAGGGUGCGAGCGUUGUCCGGAAUUAUUGGGCGUAAAGAGCUUGUAGGCGGUUUGUCGCGUCUGCCGUGAAAAUCCGGGGCUCAACCCCGGACUUGCGGUGGGUACGGGCAGACUAGAGUGUGGUAGGGGAGACUGGAAUUCCCGGUGUAGCGGUGAAAUGCGCAGAUAUCGGGAGGAACACCUAUGGCGAAGGCAGCUCGCUGGGACGUUACUGACGCUGAGACGCGAAAGCGUGGGGAGCAAACAGG
rnacentral:rRNA from 1 species